CAGCAGCCGCGGUAACACGUAGGUGGCGAGCGUUGUCCGGAAUCAUUGGGCGUAAAGGGAGCGCAGGCGGGCAUAUAAGUCUUUCUUAAAAGUUCGGGGCUCAACCCCGUGAUGGGAAAGAAACUAUAUGUCUUGAGUACAGGAGAGGAAAGCGGAAUUCCCAGUGUAGCGGUGAAAUGCGUAGAUAUUGGGAGGAACACCAGUGGCGAAGGCGGCUUUCUGGACUGCAACUGACGCUGAGGCUCGAAAGCCAGGGGAGCGAACGGGAUUAGAUACCCCCGUAGUCCCUGUCUCUUAUACA
rnacentral:rRNA from 1 species